GAGGUGCUUGCACCUUAUCUUAGCGGCGGACGGGUGAGUAAUGCUUAGGAAUCUGCCUAUUAGUGGGGGACAACAUUCCGAAAGGGAUGCUAAUACCGCAUACGUCCUACGGGAGAAAGCAGGGGAUCUUCGGACCUUGCGCUAAUAGAUGAGCCUAAGUCGGAUUAGCUAGUUGGUGGGGUAAAGGCCUACCAAGGCGACGAUCUGUAGCGGGUCUGAGAGGAUGAUCCGCCACACUGGGACUGAGACACGGCCCAGACUCCUACGGGAGGCAGCAGUGGGGAAUAUUGGACAAUGGGGGGAACCCUGAUCCAGCCAUGCCGCGUGUGUGAAGAAGCCUUAUGGUUGUAAAGCACUUUAAGCGAGGAGGAGCUACUGAGACUAAUACUCUUGGAUAGUGGACGUUACUCGCAGAAUAAGCACCGGCUAACUCUGUGCCAGCAGCCGCGGUAAUACAGAGGUGCGAGCGUUAAUCGGAUUUACUGGGCGUAAAGCGUGCGU
rnacentral:rRNA from 1 species